rnacentral:rRNA from 1 species
AUGAGUCGUCAUGAUGGCAUCAACAUCCCCAAUGGCAAGUUCUACCUAGGAGAUGCUGGUUAUGCAUGUUGGCCAGGUAUUUUUCCAUCCUUCAGGAAAACCAGGUACCAUAUGAACAAGUUCGCUGGUCGGAAAUAUCCUAGGACUCCACAUGAGCUGUUCAAUCUCAGACACUCCAUCCUUAGAGUUACUGUUGAGAGGGCACCUGGAGCUCCGAAGAAUAGGUUUAAGAUCCUAAAUCAGAAGCCAUUCCACAAUUUUCCCAUUCAGGUUAAACUUGUUGUUGCUUGUUGCAUUCUGCAUAACUGAAUCCUGCAAUGGGGUUGUGAUGGACUAGUGCCUGCAGAGGAAGAUGUGACGCCUGACGAUGUUGUCAGCUCCGGUCAUGGUGUGGAGGCAUUUGACAACAACGGAUGGAAGAACAAAAUGAUUGAAUGGGCACACGCAAUGUGGGAUAACAGAGGUCAGACAAGGAUCUGA